rnacentral:piRNA from 1 species
CCGGUGCGGAGACCGGGGCAAAUGG